GGCUCCCAUUUGGUGCUCUAAGAGGGGAAUAGCCAUGUCUGUCCAGGCACCCCUAUCGACCUCACCAAGGUCUGCCAGGAGCACCCAGGAGACAUACGAUGGCUAUAAGUCCUCCUGUACCAUCUGCCGUGAAGGCAAGGAGCUACUGCUUUGUAGCAAUGCAGUACUGCAUCUGCCAGCAGCACCCAGGAGAUGUAUGGUGACGGUGAGCUGAGAGGGCUCCAUGCUUGCUGUGGUAUGGUAAGCAAGCAGCAUGCUGAGCAGUGCUGCC